rnacentral:lncRNA from 1 species
CGCCUUUCUCCCCUAGUUCCUCGUACACGCGACCAAACGCCGCAUUUUUAGCUUCCUUAACCGCCAGCUUUGCUUCUUUCCUCGCCACCUUGUAGAUUUCCCUGUUCGCUCUGCGUUCUUCCUCGUUUGUGCUCCCUGCCAACUUAGCAAACGCCGCCUUCUUUGCCUCUACUUUUCCUUCGACUACAUCGUUCCACCACCAGUCACCCUGAUGUCUGCCUGAAUAG